rnacentral:rRNA from 1 species
CAUGGCUCAGGACGAACGCUGGCGGCGUGCUUAACACAUGCAAGUCGAACGGAGUGCUCAUGACAGAGGUUUCGGGGUUGAAGUUAGUGGCGGACGGGUGAGUAACACGUGAGGAACCUGCCUUACAGAGUGGGAUACCGUUUGGAAACGAACGUUAAUACCGCAUAACAUAUGUGAAUCGCAUGGUUUGCAUAUCAAAGAUUUAUCGCUGUAAGAUGGCCUCGCGUCUGAUUAGAUAGUUGGUGAGGUAACGGCCCACCAAGCCGACGAUCAGUAGCCGGUCUGAUAGGAUGAACGGCCACACUGGAACUGAGACACGGUCCAGACUCCUACGGGAGGCAGCAGUGGGGAAUCUUCCGCAAUGGGCGAAAGCCUGACGGAGCAACGCCGCGUGAAGGAAGAAGGCUUUCGGGUUGUAAACUUCUUUUAAGAGGGAAGAGUAGAAGACUGUACCUCUAGAAUAAGCCACGGCUAACUACGUG